rfam:Nannochloropsis gaditana CCMP526 unplaced genomic scaffold scaffold051, whole genome shotgun sequence.
GGGGAAUUAGCUCAGAUGGUAGAGCAUCCGCUUAGCGUGCGGAAGGCAGUCGGAUCGAUACCGACAUUCUCCA